rnacentral:rRNA from 1 species
GAUGAACGCUGGCGGCGUGCCUAAUACAUGCAAGUCGAGCGAACAGACGAGGAGCUUGCUCCUCUGACGUUAGCGGCGGACGGGUGAGUAACACGUGGAUAACCUACCUAUAAAACUGGGAUAACUUCGGGAAACCGGCGCUAAUACCGGAUAAUAUAUUGAACCGCAUGGUUCAAUAGUGAAAGACGGUUUUGCUGUCACUUAUAGAUGGAUCCGCGCCGCAUUAGCUAGUUGGUAAGGUAACGGCUUACCAAGGCAACGAUGCGUAGCCGACCUGAGAGGGUGAUCGGCCACACUGGAACUGAGACACGGUCCAGACUCCUACGGGAGGCAGCAGUAGGGAAUCUUCCGCAAUGGGCGAAAGCCUGACGGAGCAACGCCGCGUGAGUGAUGAAGGUCUUCGGAUCGUAAAACUCUGUUAUUAGGGAAGAACAAAUGUGUAAGUAACUAUGCACGUCUUGACGGUACCUAAUCAGAAAGCCACGGCUAACUACGUG